rnacentral:tRNA from 2 species
GGCCUCGUCGUCUAGCGGCCCAGGACGCCGCCCUCUCAAGGCGGUAACGGGGGUUCGAAUCCCCUCGAGGCUACCA